AGUGUCAGGAACUGUCCAGAGACCCGCCUUCGCCACUGGUCUUCCUCAUGAUCUCUACGCAUUUCACUGCUACACCAUGAAUUCCAGUCUCCUCUCCAGUCCUCAAGCACCACAGUAUCGAAUGCAGUUUCGGAGUUAAGCCCCGAGAUUUCACACCCGACUUAUGGCGCCACCUACGCACCCUUUACGCCCAAUGAAUCCGAACAACGCUUGAGACCUCUGUAUUACCGCGGCUGCUGGCACAGAGUUAGCCGUCUCUUCCUCUUCUGAUACUAUCAAUGCACCGGCAGUUAACCGGUGCACCUUGUUCUCAAAUGACAGGAGUUUACAACCCGAAGACCUUCAUCCUCCACGCGGCGUCGCUCGAUCAGGGUUUCCCCCAUUGUCAAAAAUUCUCGACUGCUGCCACCCGUAGGUGUCUGGACCGUGUCUCAGUUCCAGUGUGACUGGUCGUCCUCUCAGACCAGCUACCCGUCAUCGCCUUGGUGAGCCGUUACCUCACCAACAAGCUGAUAGGCCGCGGACUCCUCAAAAAGCGCCAGGUUGCCCCGGCUUUGGAUUCAGGAAGAUGUCGUC
rnacentral:rRNA from 1 species